CAAGGGCUGGCUGCUUGAGGUGUUUCAGGGAUUGAGGGAAGUGUGAUUGGAAGGGUCCCUGAGCUGACCACCGGUCCAGUCUCUGGACCUUGUUGCCUCCUGUCUCUCCAGCAGUAUCUCCUGAGUUGGUCAGUGACCACAAGGAUGGAAGAGAGUUCUAGAGAAGAAGAAGUGGAUGCCAGCGGGUUAUUCAACUAGCACCAAACAAUCCUCUGUGAAGCAGACUUCAACUUGUGCUUCUCCAAGCAAGCUGGGAUGAUUGCCACAAAACCAAGCCAACUCCAUGAAGGAGCUUUUAGAUGCAAAUUGAUUUUCUUGGGUUUUCUUGCUAAGGUAGCUAAAAUAUGGAACUUUGGCCACGAGACACUGAAAUACUUAAGUUAUUAAUGUUGGCAUCAAUUCUAGGGGAAAGUGUUCUUCAUUUGUGAAAGUGUUCUUUCUAUGGUUCUGUUCACAAUAUCAGAAUAACCAACCAUAUGAAUGGACCCCCAGAGACUAUCCACCCUGCCAAGACAUGAUAGUGACUGGCUUUUUUUCUGAAGUUUUUUUUUUUUUUUUUUCUAUCAGAUAAAAUUUGUGUGCUGGUAUUUCUUUAAAUUCUCUAAAAUUUUCUUCUUAUUACCUCUGGUCAAUAGAACAGUAUUCACAGUGCUUUAUAACAAACUUGUGUUUAUUGUCUAGAGCAAUCCUGAAGGUAUUUGAGUCUCCCUUUUACUUUUUUACACCCAAAGAAAGGAAAUCCUUAUUCUAACUCACUCCUACUUCUCUUUGUGAGGGGCUGUCUCGUCAAUGAAACAAAGUCAAGAAGUAAAAGUGCUUAAUGAUA